CACUCUCUUCUUCCCAACUUUCCUUUUCUUUCUUACGGUUGUGUGUGGGAUACUCUAUCGGACUUACAGAUGCCGCGUCCUCCCGUGGCUGAAACCCUGUACUGUUUACUUUAAUACUCAAGAAGGCGUUCAAUUCAAGACGAACCGAUAGUGUUUCCUAGGCGACAUACGUAAAGAACGAGAAGAACAAGGUGCUUACAAUGGAAUUUGACUUAUAACUUUAUUGGGUGGGUAUAGCACUUCUCGUAUUUUCUCUCUUUCCUUCGCAUAGCUUUUGGUGACACCCAAUUUUCCAUUAUACCUUGUAGCGAAAAUCUUCGAUGUAAGAUGUUUUUACGCACUUUUUUUGUUUUUGUUUUUAAUCUCCUUUGUACUCACAUUCUUUACAUACUGCACAAAUAAAAACC